rnacentral:rRNA from 1 species
GACGUAGGGCGCGAGCGUUGUCCGGAAUUAUUGGGCGUAAAGCGUGCGCAGGCGGCUUUUGCAAGACAGAUGUGAAAUCCCCGGGCUUAACCUGGGAACUGCAUUUGUGACUGCAUGGCUGGAGUGCGGCAGAGGGGGGAUGGAAUUCCGCGUGUAGCAGUGAAAUGCGCAGAUAUCAGGAGGAACACCGGUGGCGAAGGCGGGUCUCUGGGCCGUAACUGACGCUGAGGAGCGAAAGCAUGGGGGAGCAAACAAG